rnacentral:rRNA from 1 species
UACAGAGGUCUCAAGCGUUGUUCGGAUUUAUUGGGCGUAAAGCGUGCGUAGGCGGCGGGGUAAGUGAGGUGUGAAAUCCCGGAGCUUAACUCCGGAACUGCACUUUAUACUGCCUUGCUCGAGGGCUGGAGAGGAGACUGGAAUUUACGGUGUAGCAGUGAAAUGCGUAGAGAUCGUAAGGAAGACCAGUGGCGAAGGCGGUGCUCUGGGCCGGAACUGAACGCUGGAGGAAGCGAAAGCGUGGGUAGCGAACAGG